GUAUUCAUAUCAAAUUUUUCGUGAGCUGAAUUACUACAAAGUGUUUCCUAUCUUCUUCCCAGUACCUCACUCGAAUGCAGCUAUCAAGAGCCCCCGGCUGGUCCUCUCCUCCCUCGUCCUCAGGCAGCCAUCGGCCGCAGCAGCUGCUCCUCCCCUUCCUCUCCCUCACCCAGCCAAGAUCAACAGUAACGGCUUCUCCCACUGCUUCAAGCUUCGGGCUCCCUCCAAAGCUCCUUCUCUCUACGACGUCCGCAAAGAGAGACGAUCAAAGAUUCUCUGGUGCGGUAGUUCAGCUAUGCUAGCUCAAUGUUGAGGCGCUGAAAUAUCUUUCCAAGGAGGAUUUUUACAGCAGUUGAAAUGGGAAUAGAAAAUAACAGGAUCCUCCCUUCGGAACUCAAGGAUCGCACACGUAUGCCCUUUUAUACUCUUGUGUUGAUUUUUAUAGUUUAUGCUUGGGGGGAGUUUGAUGUGUUUGGCUGCCCGAUCCGUUGGUUGUGGAGGAAUGUACGAGGUCUUGAAGAACUUGCUCAAGCAUAAGUUGCUACACCAUGACUUCCAAAUAUGAGUAGCUCGAUGGGCAUUCUAAUGCUGUUUUUGAAUAGUAAAAUCCCCAAAAAUCUUUUGUUUUCCUUCAGUGGGCCGUCAAAUGGUGCGGGGAAGGAGUCUGGUAGUUUUCUUUUCAACUUUCACAUUUUUUUUUUUGGGAAGAAGUAACUUUUACAGAUUUCAGUUAUAUCUAUACGCUGUUUUACAGGAUUAAAAUUUAAUGUGAAAAAUUUUCUUUUUUCAAUAUAUCUUCGAGGUUGCCACUGAGGAUGGUCAAAUUCUAGUGAUCAAGUUGCACAGACUAGGAAGAGUUUCUUUCCGGGCAGUCAAAUCCAAGCGUGAUUACUUUUUUUGGGUAUGCACCUUGGCAUCCGGAAGGCCAUUGGGUCCCGACCAAGCGUGAUUACUUGAAGCAUCGCAGAAGUUACAAUUGGCUCUACUAGUCACGACUUGCUGCACUUAAAAAGAAUUUGCCUUUAUGAAGGCUUUGGAAGAGCUCGGUUUUCCUGUUCCUAAUGCAUUGUAUUGCUAGAGGCACUGUGUGGUAGUGUCACUUGUUCAGGGCUACCCACUAUUCUUCCUGUAUGGAUGAUCAACAUCACAUUGCUUGUAGACAAAAGCACAUUUUUGUAAUGAUGAACCAACGUGUUGCAUUAUACUCAUGCUUGCUACAAUGCCGAGGGCAGGUGAAGGAAUUGCAAAAUCCAGAAAUGGCGCUUGAGAAUAUCAUCAGUUUGGUCUUUCACCUAGUGGAUAAUGGACUUAUUCGUUGCGAUUUCAAUAAAUUCAAUAUUAUGAUUGAUGAUGCUGAGAAGUGAGAAGGUCACCAUGAUUGAUUUUCCUCGGGUGGUUUCUGUUUCACAUCACAAUGCACAGAUGUACUUUGAGUCUUUGACCGUGAUGUUGAUUGCAUCUAUGAGUUCUAUAGUAAAAGAGGAAGAUGCUGAAGACAGCGGGCCUUGCUUUUUCAUCAAUAAACAAAGAAGCUGGUUUCCUUGACAAGGAAUUUGCUGCUAGUGGAUUUACUAGACUGGAUCAAGCCGAUAUAGACAAGCAGCCUGAGCAAAUUCAAGAGGGUGACAGGGCUGAGAAGGAAGAGAUUAUACAAAGAGUUGAAGCAAGCAGACCCAACAAACCCAAAACUCAAGAUGGCUCUGAUGAUAUACAGUCAUUAGUCUGACCUCAUUUUAGCUCCCUAUUAUAUCGGAGAUGUAGCUAACAACCCUUUUUCUUCUUGUCCCUAUGCUGCAUCAAGAAGAAGGUGAGGAGGAUGCAAAGGAAGCUGAGCUCGUGAAAAGCAUGAACAAGCAGAGGCAGCAGGCCAUAUAGCUCCUGCCUUUAUGGGCUGGAAGGCUCUUGCUUCGAGAAACUUAUACAAGGACUAAGGCGGUCGGACCCCUCAUAACUUGAAAAUCCAAAAACAAUUGAGCGGCUGGUAGAUUAGAACACUAUAUUAAGGAAAGGGUGAUUGCCCCACCUCCCCCUUAAGUUAUGAUUCGAGAGGAUCAUUGUUGUGGGGAUGUGUUCUGCAAGGCUCUGAUAUUCAAGCCAAAGUUUUUGUCAAGUUUUGAAUGUGCCUAGGCACUGCCCCACCAAGUCAUGGUUUGCUUUGCACAUCAAUGGGGUAACCGACUCUGCGCUGCGAGAGCUCCAGUGACCCAGGAGGUGCUUGUAGGUACAUUAUGCUCUUUCAGAGUGGCUUGAAUGGUUCUUGAUAUAAAUAAUGGCUUCUUGAGCAUGUUUGAAGCAAGGCGCUGAAGCGAGAGACGGACUGCAGGUGUGAAGGCAUUACAGUGCUCAAUAUCAUUUGAAUGCUAUAGAUGUCGUGACAGCUCGUUUGGGAACAAAUGCACCAAUGAAAGGUGUGUGUCGUGACCGUGUACUGGCCGAUGACAGAGAAGGUGCCACCAUUAGGAGCUAAACGAAACCUAUCUCGCUUAUAGCACUGUGAUCACAUGUAUGUCUGGGUUGGCUUAUUUUGAAGGAUGUGUUGAUGCAUUAAUAAUAAAAAAGUUGAUCUUUAUUCAAUAA